rnacentral:rRNA from 1 species
AGAGUUUGAUCCUGGCUCAGGACGAACGCUGGCGGCGUGCCUAAUACAUGCAAGUAGAACGCUGAAGAGAGGAGCUUGCUCUUCUUGGAUGAGUUGCGAACGGGUGAGUAACGCGUAGGUAACCUGCCCGGUAGCGGGGGAUAACUAUUGGAAACGAUAGCUAAUACCGCAUAAUAGCAGUUAUUGCAUGAUAACUGUUUGAAAGGUGCAAUUGCACCACUACCAGAUGGACCUGCGUUGUAUUAGCCAGUUGGUGGGUAACGGCUCACCAAGGCGACG